rnacentral:rRNA from 1 species
UACAGAGGUCCCAAGCGUUACUGAGAAUCACUGGGUUUAAAGGGUGCGUAGGUGGCGCGUUAAGUCAGUUGUGAAAUCCCCGGGCUCAACCCGGGAACUGCUUCUGAUACUGGCGUGCUUGAGGCCAGUAGGGGUCACUAGAACUGACGGUGGAGCGGUGAAAUGCGUAGAUAUCGUCAGGAAUGCCGGUGGUGAAGACGGGUGACUGGGCUGGUUCUGACACUGAGGCCACGAAAGCGUGGGGAGCGAACGGG